UACGGAAGGCAGCAGUGGGGAAUAUUGCACAAUGGGCGAAAGCCUGAUGCAGCUAUGCCGCGUGUAUGAAGAAGGCCUUAGGGUUGUAAAGUACUUUCAUCGGGGAGGAAAAAACAAAACUAAUAAUUUUAUUUCUUGACGUUACCCGAAAAAGAAGCACCGACUAACUCCGUGCCAGCAGCCGCGGUAAUACGGAGGGUGCUAGCGUUAAUCAGAAUUACUGGGCGUAAAGAGCACGUAGGUGGUUUUUUUAAGUCAGAUGUGAAAUCCCUGGGCUUAACCUGGAACUGCAUUUUGAAACUGAAAUACUAGAGUAUCGUAGAGGGAGGUAGAAUUCUAGGUGUAGCGGUGAAAUGCGUAGAUAUCUGGAGGAAUACCUGUGGCGAAAGCGGCCUCCUAAACGAAUACUGACACUGAGGUGCGAAAGCGUGGGGAGCAAACAGGGAUUAGAUA
rnacentral:rRNA from 1 species